AGUCAUAUGCUUGUCUCAAAGAUUAAGCCAUGCAUGUAUAAGUACAAGCCUCACUAAGGUGAAACCGCGAAUGGCUCAUUAAAUCACACCUAAUCUACUGGAUUGUUAAACGUUACUUGGAUAACUGAGGUAAUUCUUGAGCUAAUACAUGCGAAAAAUCCCAACUCACGAAGGGAUGCUUUUAUUAGAUCAAAACCAAACGGCUUCGGCUGUAACACUGGUGACUCUGGAUAACUUUGGGCUGAUUGCAUUGCCUAGUGCAGGCAACAUUUCCUUCGAAGGUGUGCCCUAUCAACUGUCGACUGUGAUAUAGACGCUCACAGUGGUUUUGACGGGUAACGGGGAAUCAGGGUUCGAUUCCGGAGAGGGAGCCUUAAAAACGGCUACCACAUCCAAGGAAGGCAGCAGGCACGCAAAUUACCCAAUGGCCGAAGGCCGAGGUAGUGACGAAAAAUAACAAUACUGGACUCUUCCGAGGCCCAGUAAUUGGAAUGAGUACACUUUAAAACUUUUCCCGAGGAUCUAU
rnacentral:rRNA from 1 species